rnacentral:lncRNA from 1 species
UUAGGGCUGGAAAUUUCUGACCUGCUACCAACAUCAUCUCGGUUUCACCACUGUCAACUAUGAGUUAUUCUAUUAAUUGACUAGGCAGAAUCCUAGAAUUACAGCCUUUCAGGAGCAGGAGAGUAUUUAGAGAUCAUCUAUUUCAAGUUUUUCAUUAAAAAGCUGAAACAGUAGGAGAGGUGAAUAAAUUAAAAUGGAAAGUAAUCUGGUUGGCAAAAAAGAGAUUUUAUAAUAAUAACAUAAUACAAUAACCAGAGGAGCAACCAGAAGGGAGGCUUUGGAAAGGACUGAGAAUUCCACCAGAUAUAAUAGUUAUGAUGAGCCAAACAUACUUUGAGUUAGCAUAUGAAUUAUAUCACGUGGCUUCAAGAAUCACCCCUGUCAGGAGAAUUUUCACCUACUGCAUGAAAAGACAAUGUUCCAAGAAGUUUUGUUAGAAUAUUAUCUAGCCAGAACUACCUGGCCAUGGUGAGGCCAGUAGGAAUUUUAUUUAAAAUGUACAUUGCUGGGCCUCAGGCUCUGGAGACGUGCUUGGAAGCUAAGCUUUCAACAAACACUCCAGGAAAUUCUCCUGUACACUAGGGCUUAAGAAGCAGAGGACUGUGAUUUUGAAUUUAUAAACUAUUCAUAAUUUGUCCAGAACCAUGACUUCUGUUUUCUUUUCACUACAUAUUUUGUUUCAUAAUAGUUAGCAGUAAAAUAUAUUAUAUGUGUCUCUUGUUUAUAAGACUGCAUUCUAAAUUCUGCUGUUAUUCCUUAGGGGGGAAAAACUCAUAAAAACAAAACAGAGGAUGAAUAUUUUGAAAAAAGAAAAGAAUCCCCAAUAACCUAGGAGAAGGAAAGGAGAAGUGACUUGAUUACUGCCCAGGGCAGUGACUGAGAGGCCACGAUCAGCCGGUGAUACCCUCAGCCACUUCUUUGAGUAGUAGAAUAGAAUGAUUUGAACUAGAACAGAAACUUGUAGAUCAUCCUAUUUCCUUUCUUAUUUAUAUAGGGCUGGAAUUCCACAGCUUCUCUUGGGAACUUAAAACACAACUUUAUUUACCUUGUACUAUGUAGUUUCCUGCAAGAACUGAGUCUCAGUUAGGGACUCAAUGAGAAAGUCUGGAAAAAUAGGCUGGGCAUGGUGGCUCACACCUGUAAUCUCAGCACUUUGGGAGGCUGAGACAGGGGAUCACUAGGUCAGGAGUUCGAGGCCAGCCUGGCCAACAUGGCGAAAACCCAUCUCUACUAAAAAUACAAAAAUUAGCUCGGUGCAGUGGGAGGCGCCUAUAGUCCCAGCUACUCAGGAGGCUGAGGCAGGAGAAUCACUUGAGCCUGCGGGGAGGAGGUUGCAGUGAGCCAAGAUCGUGCCACUUCACUCCAGCCUGGGUGAAAGGGCAAGACUC